rnacentral:rRNA from 1 species
UACGUAGGGGGCAAGCGUUGUCCGGAAUCAUUGGGCGUAAAGAGCGUGUAGGCGGCCAUACAGGUCAGCUGUGAAAACUCGAGGCUCAACCUCGAGACGUCGGUUGAAACCGUAUGGCUAGAGUCCGGAAGAGGAGAGUGGAAUUCCCGGUGUAGCGGUGAAAUGCGCAGAUAUCGGGAAGAACACCCGUGGCGAAGGCGGCUCUCUGGGACGGUACUGACGCUGAGACGCGAAAGCGUGGGGAGCGAACAGG